rnacentral:rRNA from 1 species
UACGUAGGGAGCAAGCGUUGUUCGGAUUUACUGGGCGUAAAGGGCGCGUAGGCGGCGUGUUAAGUCAGCUGUGAAAGCCCCGAGCUUAACUUGGGAAUUGCGCUUGUGACUGGCGUGCUGGAGUGUGGCAGAGGGAGGUGGAAUUCCACGUGUAGCAGUGAAAUGCGUAGAGAUGCGGAGGAACACCGAUGGCGAAGGCAGCCCCCUGGGCUAGCACUGACGCUCAGGCACGAAAGCGUGGGGAGCAAACAGG